GUCUACGGCCAUGCCACCCUGAACAAGCCCGAUGUCUGAUCUCGGAAGCUAAUCAGGGUCGUGCCUGGUUAGUACUUGUAUGGGAGACCAUCUAGGAAUGUCUCCCAUAUUAU
rnacentral:rRNA from 1 species